rnacentral:misc_RNA from 1 species
AACGCACCUUGCACCCUUUGGUAUUCCGAAGGGUACACCCGUUUGAGUGUCAUUGUAAUCUCACUACAACCACUUUAUUGUGGUUUGUAUGUGGACCUGGAUGUUUGCCGUGUAAUAAACGGCUCGUCUGAAAUGCCUGAGUGUACCCUGCUUUGCGGCGUAUUCGGUGUGAUAAAUCUUCACCGGAGUUGACUUUCGGGUCACGUCUGCUUACCAUGGCUCUAUGCUUCCAACAGUCCUAACAAGACAAUCUUUGACAAUUUGACCUCAAAUCGGGUGGGACUACCCGCUGAACUUAA